rnacentral:rRNA from 14 species
GCCCUUAUGGGUAGGGCUACACACGUCAUACAAUGGCCGGGACAGAGGGCUGCCAACCCGCGAGGGGGAGCUAAUCCCAGAAACCCGGUCGUAGUCCGGAUCGUAGUCUGCAACUCGACUGCGUGAAGUCGGAAUCGCUAGUAAUCGCGGAUCAGCUUGCCGCGGUGAAUACGUUCCCGGGUCUUGUACACACCGCCCGUCACAC